UACAUGGGGUGCAAACGUUGCUCGGAAUUAUUGGGCGUAAAGCGCACGUAGGCGGUUUGUUAAGUCGGAUGUGAAAUCCCUCGGCUCAACUGAGGAAGUGCAUCCGAAACUGGCAGGCUUGAGUACUAAAGAGGGUCGCGGAAUUCCCGGUGUAGAGGUGAAAUUCGUAGAUAUCGGGAAGAACACCGGUGGCGAAGGCGGCGACCUGGUCCUUGACUGACGCUGAGGCGCGAAAGCGUGGGGAGCAAACAGG
rnacentral:rRNA from 1 species